UAGAGUUUGAUCCUGGCUCAGAACGUACGCUGGCGGCACGCCUAAUACAUGCAAGUCGAACGAAGUAGCAAUACUUAGUGGCAGACGGGUGAGUAAUAUGUAGGUAUCUUCCCUUUGGUGAGGAAUAACACGAGGAAACUUGUGCUAAUACCUCAUAAGUCUUUACGGAGAAAGCUUUAUGCGCCAAUGGAUGAGCCUGCACUUGAUUAGUUUGUUGGUGGGGUAAUGGCCUACCAAGACUUUGAUCAAUAGCUGAUUUGAGAGGAUGAUCAGCCACAUUGGGACUGAGACACGGCCCAAACUCCUACGGGAGGCAGCAGUAGGGAAUCUUGCACAAUGGGGGAAACCCUGAUGCAGCGAUGCCGCGUGAGUGAAGAAGGCCUUUGGGUUGUAAAGCUCUUUCGUCGGGGAAGAAAAUGACUGUACCCGAAUAAGAAGGUCCGGCUAACUUCGUGCCAGCAGCCGCGGUAAUACGAAGGGACCUAGCGUAGUUCGGAAUUACUGGGCUUAAAGAGUUCGUAGGUGGUUAAAAAAGUUGGUGGUGAAAUCCCAGAGCUUAACUCUGGAACCGCCAUCAAAACUUUUUAGCUAGAGUAUGAUAGAGGAAAGCAGAAUUUCUAGUGUAGAGGUGAAAUUCGUAGAUAUUAGAAAGAAUACCGAUUGCGAAGGCAGCUUUCUGGAUCAUUACUGACACUGAGGAACGAAAGCAUGGGUAGCGAAGAGGAUUAGAUACCCUCGUAGUCCAUGCCGUAAACGAUGUGUGUUAGACGUUGGAAAUUUAUUUUCAGUGUCGCAGCGAAAGCAAUAAACACACCGCCUGGGGAGUACGACCGCAAGGUUAAAACUCAAAUGAAUUGACGGGGACCCGCACAAGUAGUGGAGCAUGUGGUUUAAUUCGAAGAUACGCGCAGAACCUUACCAACACUUGACAUGUUCGUCGCGACUUUAAGAGAUUAAAGUUUUCGGUUCGGCCGGACGAAACACAGGUGCUGCAUGGCUGUCGUCAGCUCGUGUCGUGAGAUGUUGGGUUAAGUCCCGCAACGAGCGCAACCCUCACUUUUAGUUGCCAUCAUUCAGUUGGGCACUCUGAAAGAACUGCCAGUGAUAAGCUGGAGGAAGGUGGGGAUGACGUCAAGUCCUCAUGGCCCUUACGUGUUGGGCUACACACGUGCUACAAUGGCAUUUACAAUAGGAAGCAAAAUGGCGACAUUAAGCAAAUCCUAAAAAAUGCCUCAGUUCGGAUUGUACUCUGCAACUCGAGUAUAUGAAGCUGGAAUUACUAGUAAUCGCGGAUCAGCGCGCCGCGGUGAAUACGUUCCCGGGUCUUGUACACACCGCCCGUCACACCAUGGGAGUUGGUUCUACCUUAAGGCAAAGGUUAAAAACUUUGACCACGGUAUAGUCAGCGACUGGGGUGAAGUCGUAACAAGGUAACCA
rnacentral:rRNA from 1 species